UUAACGCGAAGAACCUUACCAAGGCUUGACAUGCACGGGAAGCCACCAGAGAUGGUGGUCUCUUUGGACACUCGUGCACAGGUGGUGCAUGGUUGUCGUCAGCUCGUGUCGUGAGAUGUUGGGUUAAGUCCCGCAACGAGCGCAACCCUCGUCCCAUGUUGCCAGCGGGUUAUGCCGGGGACUCAUGGGAGACUGCCGGGGUCAACUCGGAGGAAGGUGGGGAUGACGUCAAAUCAUCAUGCCCCUUAUGUCUUGGGCUUCACGCAUGCUACAAUGGCCGGUACAGAGGGCUGCGAUACCGUAAGGUGGAGCGAAUCCCAAAAAGCCGGUCUCAGUUCGGAUUGGGGUCUGCAACUCGACCCCAUGAAGUCGGAGUCGCUAGUAAUCGCAGAUCAGCAACGCUGCGGUGAAUACGUUCCCGGGCCUUGUACACACCGAAUC
rnacentral:rRNA from 1 species